UACGAGAGGCCCAAACGUUUAUUCGGAAUUACUGGGCUUAAAGAGUUCGUAGGCGGCGCAGAAAGUAGGGUGUGAAAGCCCUCGGCUUAACCGAGGAAUUGCGCUCUAAACUACUGUGCUUGAGGAAGCUAGAGGUGAGCGGAACUGAUGGUGGAGCGGUGAAAUGCGUUGAUAUCAUCAGGAACACCGGAGGCGAAGGCGGCUCACUGGGGCUUUUUCGUGACG
rnacentral:rRNA from 1 species